rnacentral:misc_RNA from 1 species
AACGCACAUUGCGCCCCUCGGUAUCCCGGGGGGCAUGCCUGUUCGAGCGUCAUUUCUACCAUUCAAGCUUGCUUGGUUUUGGGUAUUGUAGCACUCUUAAUUUAGGGGUCUACAUAUCUUAAAUGUAGACGGCAGCAAGUAUAAGUUCUGAGCGUAGCAGUAAUAACAUUUCGCUUUUAGAAACUAUAUUUGUUAACCGGAAAAGUAUAUUUACAGUUUGACCUCGGAUCAGGCAGGGAUACCCGCUGAACUUAA